rnacentral:rRNA from 1 species
CGUUAUCGUUUAUUUGAUAGUACCUUACUACAUGGAUAACCGUGGUAAUUCUAGAGCUAAUACAUGCUAAAAACCUCGACUUCGGAAGGGGUGUAUUUAUUAGAUAAAAAACCAAUGCCCUUCGGGGCUCCUUGGUGAAUCAUAAUAACUUAACGAAUCGCAUGGCCUUGCGCCGGCGAUGGUUCAUUCAAAUUUCUGCCCUAUCAACUUUCGAUGGUAGGAUAGUGGCCUACCAUGGUAUCAACGGGUAACGGGGAAUUAGGGUUCGACUCCGGAGAGGGAGCCUGAGAAACGGCUACCACAUCCAAGGAAGGCAGCAGGCGCGCAAAUUACCCAAUCCCGACACGGGGAGGUAGUGACAAUAAAUACUGAUACAGGGCUCUUUUGGGUCUUGUAAUUGGAAUGAGUACAAUUUAAAUCCCUUAACGAGGAACAAUUGGAGGGCAAGUCUGGUGCCAGCAGCCGCGGUAAUUCCAGCUCCAAUAGCGUAUAUUAAAGUUGUUGCAGUUAAAAAGCUCGUAGUUGAACCUUGGGCCUGGCUGGCCGGUCCGCCUCACCGCGUGUACUGGUCCGGCCGGGCCUUUCCUUCUGGGGAACCUCAUGCCCUUCACUGGGCGUGUUGGGGAACCAGGACUUUUACUUUGAAAAAAUUAGAGUGUUCAAAGCAGGCCUUUGCUCGAAUACAUUAGCAUGGAAUAAUAGAAUAGGACGUGUGGUUCUAUUUUGUUGGUUUCUAGGACCGCCGUAAUGAUUAAUAGGGAUAGUCGGGGGCAUCAGUAUUCAAUCGUCAGAGGUGAAAUUCUUGGAUUGAUUGAAGACUAACUACUGCGAAAGCAUUUGCCAAGGAUGUUUUCAUUAAUCAGUGAACG